rnacentral:misc_RNA from 1 species
GACGAACCGGACAAACGUUAUUCGGAUUUACUGGGCUUAAAGGGUGCGUAGGCGGCACGGAAAGUAGGGUGUGAAAUCCCUCGGCUCAACCGAGGAACUGCGCUCUAAACUACCGUGCUUGAGGAAGACAGAGGUGAGCGGAACUGAAGGUGGAGCGGUGAAAUGCGUUGAUAUCUUCAGGAACACCGGUGGCGAAGGCGGCUCACUGGGUCUUUUCUGACGCUGAGGCACGAAAGCUAGGGUAGCGAACGGG